GGUCUCAUAGCUCAGUUGGUAGAGCACUACCUCGACAAGGUAGGGGUCACAGGUUCGAGUCCUGUUGGGACCACCA
rnacentral:tRNA from 1 species